rnacentral:lncRNA from 1 species
CACACACACACACAAGCACACACAUCCACUCCCUCCCUCUCUCUUACUCUCUCUCUCAUUUCCCCUCAUAGGUUCUAUGCAGGCAGAUGAGUACCACAGCUGUAACUGAGGCACACGGCAAUAAACACAGUGGAGCCAAUUUCUACGAUGGCGAGAGAGGGGGCAUCAGAGUUGACAACAAUGACAAGGAUCCAAGGACCGUCCUUCUGACAAGUUUCAGGACAAUUUGGAACAUGAAGAUUAGAGACUUAGAGACAGUCUGUCUAACCUAAAACUAUACAUUUGGGCUCACACCACUUGAAGAAAAAUGAAACAAAUGGAAAAAAAACAACACUUGAGAAGGUCAAAGAGUCCUACAUCCGGGAAUAUGGAAAAUGG